rnacentral:lncRNA from 1 species
UGAAAAGACUAGACUGGUUUAGUCUUCCGGCCUACAUCUUUCUCCCAUGCUGGAUGCUUCCUGCCCUCAAACAUCAGACUCCAAGUUCUUCAGUUUUGGGACUCGGACUGGCAUCCUUGCUCCUCAGGUUGCAGACGGCAUAUUGUGGGACCUCACCUUGUGACCAUAGUAAACAUAGAAAUGAAGAUAAUGCAUGGCAAGAUCUCCAAAUAACCCAGGAAGCAUCAAAAAAGAAAAAACAAAACAAACUGAAGUUGACCUGGCCUCACAGUGACCAGAUUAUCAUACCUGAGUAUGGUUCAGGCCCCAGGGCUCUGAGGAAACAAGAGUACUAUAUCAUAGACUCAGUAACAAGAGUUAAAUGUGCUUCCUUCUCAUAACUCCAGCAAUUGCCAUGCUCUGAUUAAUAUUUUUGUGACUAUCUCUACUGCUACUCUUUCCUGCUCUGAGUUGGCUUUUCUUACAUGGCCAAAUUUCUGAGAGAGAAGUUGGGUUUGGUAAGUCACUCUUUAGAUAGAGCCACCUGUAGAUUGGAUAUCCUUGGAUAAGAUGCCCAUCCACUUAGUAUCUGCCAAAGAGAAGACUGAAAUUUGGGGAUCAUGCAGUCACAACACGAAAAAAAUUUGCAGAAGGAAUUUUGUAGAUGGAGACUGUGCAUAGAAAUUGGGGCAGAAGACGUAGCAGGUUAUCUGAGACUUAGCCUAUACGGGACACAAAAAUUUUUAAAAAUAGCUGAGAUAUUGAAAAUAAAAGUGAUAAUUUAAAAUAAUUAUUUAGGCGUCAAUAUGUUGAAAGCAUCAAAGAGAAGAAUCAUUGUAUAAGUAAGGCAGAUAGAAGCAAGGAUGUUAUGUUUAUUCCUGUUUGAUGUUUAAAGACCUGAACUGGAACUAAGGGAGUGGGACUUGGCAGAACUGGACCUGAAAUAUCUAAACAACCCUAAUACAGCUUGAUAAAUGACCAGUCAUGUGGUAAAGAAUCCUUUGGGCAGAGUAGUUAACAACACAUACUCAGUAGCUUUAGAGUCUGAAAAAAAAUCUAGUUUUGUGUUUCCAUUUUGUCACUUAUUAACUGUCUGACCAGAAGAAGUUGUUUAUCCACUUCACACUUCAGUUUCUUCACCCAUAAAAUAGGGUUAUUCACAGCAGCAGGUGCAUAGUGUUGGUGUGAGAAGUGGAUUAUAUCAUGCCUGUGAAAUGUUGAGCAUAGAGUGUCACUUAGUAAAUACUCAGCACAUGUUACCUGUCUUUAAUAACUCUAUAAGAAGAGGAGUCCGAGAACCCCAUGAGGUAUAGGUUGAAUCCACUGAAUCCAUGAAAGAGAAGCCUCAGGAGGGAAAUUGAUCUGCAGGCAUCAGAGAUUGGGUUCUGCUUUGGAGGUGUUGGGUGGUCUGUAGUACAAAAUAAUCUCCAGCUGGAAAGGCCAUAAAAGCACUGAGUGCAUGGAAGGUUAUUAACUUGGAAGAAGAUAAGAAACAGAACAAGAGAAUGGCAUCUAGGAAGUAAAAAUGAUGAUGUUGAAAGAGCAUAGGUGAGUUCUCCGGAGAAAAGAGCAAGGAGACCAGCAAGAAGAGACCUCACUCUGCCCCCAGCUAGAGAUAAAAGAGGAAAUAUGCUAAGAGAAUAGAGAAGUCUCUGUAAGAAAGUCCCAUGGCUCAUUUGUAGGAACAUGCAGUUUAAUAUCAUUUGAACUAUGUUUAACAUUUGUUAUUGGCCUUUUAUCUCAUUGCAAAAACAUACAAUUCUUCAGUUAGCUAAAAAUUUCAAUAAAAUUAUUUUAAUUUAUA